GGCGUCGUAGUCUAGUGGGAAAGAGUAAGGACUGCAGAUCCGCAGGACGGAGGUUCGAAUCCUCAGAGCUCCU